GACGUGAACAAGACUGUCUCUAUAUAAUUUUUUAGAAUUUGAUCUUUGGGUGAAGAAACCUAAAUAAUAUUGAAAGACAAGAAGACCCUAUUGAGCUUUAAAAAAAUGAAUUGAGAACAAGGUAUAAUUCUAAAUACUAAUCUAUUGAAGAUUUUGGUUGGGGCGACUAUGGAACAAGCAAAGCUUCUUUAUUACCAAGAAGACUGGCAAGUAUUGAUCCAAAAAUUUUGAUCAAUGGAAUUAGUUACCGUAGGGAUAACAGCAUAAUUCUCUUUAAGAG
rnacentral:rRNA from 1 species